rnacentral:miRNA from 1 species
ACAAUGAACGAAAUCCAAAUC